UUACGGGAGGCAGCAGUGGGGAAUUUUGGACAAUGGGGGCAACCCUGAUCCAGCCAUUCCGCGUGAGUGAAGAAGGCCUUCGGGUUGUAAAGCUCUUUCGGCAGGAACGAAACGCUCUGGGCUAAUACCCCGGGGUAAUGACGGUACCUGAAGAAGAAGCACCGGCUAACUACGUGCCAGCAGCCGCGGUAAUACGUAGGGUGCGAGCGUUAAUCGGAAUUACUGGGCGUAAAGCGUGCGCAGGCGGUUUUGUAAGACAGAUGUGAAAUCCCCGGGCUUAACCUGGGAACUGCGUUUGUGACUGCAAGACUUGAGUGCGGCAGAGGGGGGUGGAAUUCCACGUGUAGCAGUGAAAUGCGUAGAGAUGUGGAGGAACACCGAUGGCGAAGGCAGCCCCCUGGGUCGACACUGACGCUCAUGCACGAAAGCGUGGGUAGCAAACAGGAUUAGAUACCCGGGUAGUCCA
rnacentral:rRNA from 1 species